UCUCUGAUUCUCCUCCGCACAAACGUCGACCCACCUCCGAUCUGCUGUUCUCUCUUGACCCUUUCAUAAUCUCUUCUAUUCCGUUCCAUUUCUCCCCAUUUCUUUGUAAGUUCUUUACAUUCGAUUUUUUCCCGAGAGAUCUUUGCAAAGUUUCAAGGUUUUUUUUUUGCGAUUGUUUGUUUUAGAAUGGAUAGUAAUUAUUCAGCUAUACCCAAAGGCACCGAUGUAGAAUUACAAAUGCAGAAUGAACCCCAGGACUUUAGAUCCCAACAGAAAUUUCUCCUUUCCGAUGACGGAAACUGGGUAAAUCACGCCAAGGUUGCUCACGACUUUGAUGAUCUUAACGAGGAGGACGACAACAAUAUCGAUGUUGAUCCUGAUGAUUAUACCCUUGUUCUGAGUAAACCCAAUACUGGGUCUGGUAUUGCUGGUGCUGUUUUUAACUUAACUACCACAAUUAUUGGUGCGGGAAUCAUGGCUUUGCCUGCUACUAUGAAGGUUCUUGGAGUUGUUUUGGGGAUUUGUUUGAUAAUCCUGAUUGGGUUUUUGUCUGAAAUGAGUGUCGAGAUGUUGAUUAGGUUUGCGGUUUCUUGUAAAGCUAGAUCUUAUGGGGAAGUUGUUCAGAUUGCAAUGGGGAAAACCGCUAGGAUUUUAUCUGAGAUUUGCAUAAUUGUCAACAAUACAGGUGUUUUGAUAGUUUAUUUGAUUAUCAUGGGUGAUGUUAUGUCCGGUUCGGUUCGUCAUCUUGGGAUUUUUGACCAGUGGUUGGGACAUGGCUUUUGGGAUCAUAGGAAGUUGUUGGUUUUGGUUGUUAUGGUUGUUUUUCUUGCUCCACUUUGCUUGUUAAAUAGGAUCGAAUCAUUGAGCACCACAUCGGCUGCUUCGGUCGCUCUGGCCGUCGUUUUCGUUGCGGUUUGCUUUGCUGUUGCAUUCAUUAAGCUUGUUGAAGGGAAAAUUGAUCCUCCAAGGAUGAGCCCCGAUCUCAGGUCGAAAAUGGCAAUUUGGGAUUUAAUAGUAGUUAUACCUGUCAUGACGAAUGCAUAUGUUUGCCAUUUUAAUAUCCAGCCUAUAUAUAACGAGCUCGAAGGGCGAUCGCCUCAAAAGAUGAACAGGGUUGGAAGGAUCACAACUUCUAUUUGUGUUGUAGUCUAUGCCUCAACAGCUAUAUCAGGGUAUUUGCUCUUUGGGAAGGACACUGAAGGUGAUGUUUUGACCGAUUUCGAUAGGGAUCUUGGAAUUCGUUUUAGCACUGCUUUGAAUUAUAUCGUCCGGAUCGGUUACAUUUUCCAUUUGAUUCUGGUUUUCCCUGUUAUCCACUUUUCCCUACGGCAAACCGUGGAUAGAUUGGUGUUUGAGGGAUCGGCUCCUCUAACAGAGAGUCGUAAAAGGUCAUUCGCAUUAACAGUAAUAUUGUUAAUGCUUAUUUAUGUCGGAUCUACUAUGAUCCCGAAUAUAUGGACAGCUUUCAAAUUUACAGGAGCAACAACGGCUGUUUCAUUAGGUUUUACAUUCCCUGCUCUCAUUGCAUUGAGGCUAAGUCAGCAGGAAGAGGGGUUGAGCUUGAGUAGAGUAGAAAAACUUUUGUCCUGGUUGAUGUUAAUUUUGGCUAUAAUUGUUAGCAUUUCUGGGACGAUCGGAAAUAUUUAUACUAUCCAAAGUAAAUCCGAAUGAUUCCUCUAGAAGAGUUUCGGGCCUGUUUUCCCAAGGUAUGAUUUUGAUAAUUUUGCUUGUAGCCUUGACGAUGGUUAAUCUGUUUCGAUGUUGCUUUGCUUGCUCAAUAGACGAACAGAUGGUUUCGGAUGAUGAUAUAGAGCAACUGCGACCGGUUACUCGGCAUACAAUGGGAGGACUUGGGAGGAUACUGAAUGGACCCUCAUCUCUUGUAACCUGUAAGUUAUUUUGACUUUACAAAUCAAAACCAUGCUACGGAUAUGCUUACUUAACAUUCUUCUUGCACGAAAGAUUCGAGUAUAACUAUUUGCCGGUGGAAAAAUACUAGAACAGAUUUAGUAAUACUUACAUUUUUAUUAAGAGGAAGACUUUUUUUUUUUUGCUUCUGGAGAAAAGAUCUGUAAUGUACUGUAAUAGUUUUCAUGAUACUUGUGCUGCUACUUGCUUGCUUCUAUUCAAAUGAUACGUAUUAGAUGCUA